rnacentral:rRNA from 1 species
AGAGUUUGAUCCUGGCUCAGGACGAACGCUGGCGGCGUGCCUAACACAUGCAAGUCGACGAUACUUAUUCAGCAAUGGGUAAGUAGAGUGGCGCACGGGUGCGUAAUGCGCAGGUAAUCUACCUUACAGACGGAAAUAACACUUCCAACGAGGUGCUAAUGUCCGAUGUUGCAAUUGGUUCGCAUGAACUGAUUGUGAAACCUUAGGGGCUGUAAGAUGAGCCUGCGUCCCAUUAGGUAGUUGGAGAGGUAAAGGCUCCCCAAGCCGACGAUGGGUAGCUGGUCUGAGAGGACGAUCAGCCACACUGGAACUGAGACACGGUCCAGACUCCUACGGGAGGCAGCAGUGAGGAAUAUUGCUCAAUGGCCGCAAGGCUGAAGCAGCAACGCCGCGUGAGGGAUGAAGGAUCUAUGGUCUGUAAACCUCUGUAGAUAAGGAAAAAUAAUCCAUUAAAUGGAGAUGAUAGUACUUAUAGAGUAAGCCCCGGCUAACUACGUGCCAGCAGCCGCGGUAAUACGUAGGGGGCGAGCGUUGUCCGGAAUCACUGGGUGUAAAGGGUGCUCAGGCGGGUCAGUAAGUCAGGGGUGAAAUUUCACAGCUUAACUGUGAAUGUGCUUUUGAUACUGCUGGUCUAGAGUUCAGGAGAGGGCAAUGGAAUUCUUGGUGUAGCGGUGAAAUGCGUAGAUAUCAAGAAGAACACCGGUUGCGAAGGCGGUUGCCUGGCCUGUAACUGACGCUCAAGCACGAAAGCGUGGGGAUCAAACAGGAUUAGAUACCCUGGUAGUCCACGCCCUAAACGAUGAAUACUCGGUGUCGGGUCGAAAGGCUCGGUGCCUAAGCUAACGCUUUAAGUAUUCCACCUGGGGAGUACGAUCGCAAGGUUGAAACUCAAAGGAAUUGACGGGGGCCCGCACAAGCAGUGGAGCAUGUGGUUUAAUUCGACGCAACGCGAAGAACCUUACCUAGGCUUGAAAGGCAAGCCGCAGCCGAUGAAAGUCGGUUUCCCGCAAGGGGGCUUGUACAGGUGCUGCAUGGCUGUCGUCAGCUCGUGCCGUGAGGUGUUGGGUUAAGUCCCGCAACGAGCGCAACCCCUGCACUAUGUUGCCAUCGGGUAAAGCCGGGCACUCUUAGUGGACUGCCUACGCAAGUAGUGAGGAAGGUGGGGAUGACGUCAAGUCCUCAUGGCCCUUACGCCUAGGGCCACACACGUGCUACAAUGGCCGCUACAAAGGGCUGCGAAACCGCGAGGUGGAGCCAAUCCCAAAAAAGCGGUCUCAGUUCGGAUCGGAGUCUGCAACUCGACUCCGUGAAGCUGGAAUUGCUAGUAAUCGCGCAUCAGCACGGCGCGGUGAAUACGUUCCCGGGCCUUGUACACACCGCCCGUCAAGCCAUGGGAGUUGGUAGUACCCGAAGUCGCUGUGCUAACCGUAAGGAAGCAGGCGCCUAAGGUAAGAUCAAUGACUGGGGCUAAGUCGUAACAAGGUAGCCGUAUCGGAAGGUGCGGCUG